AACGGAAGGGUACGACGGUUGGUCGAUGCGUGUCGUCAGCUCGUGUCGUGAGAUGUUGGGUUAAGUCCCGCAACGAGCGCAACCCCUACGUUUAGUUGCUAACGCGUGAAGGCGAGCACUCUAGACGAACUGCCGUUGACAAAACGGAGGAAGGUGGGAUGACGUCAAAUCAUCAUGCCCCUUAUGUUCUGGGCUACACACGUGCUACAAUGGCCGGUACAGACGGACGCAAAGCCGCGAGGUGGAGCAAAUCCUAAAAAGCCGGUCUCAGUUCGGAUUGCAGGCUGCAAUUCGCCUGCAUGAAGUCGGAAUCGCUAGUAAUCGCAGGUCAGCAUACUGCGGUGAAUACGUUCCCGGGCCUU
rnacentral:rRNA from 1 species